rnacentral:rRNA from 1 species
ACGGUGCCUCGUUCCGUAAGACGGCCUUCGGGUUGUAAACUGCUUUCGUACGGAACGAACCGGUGAUCUCUAAUACAGAUUGCUAAUGACGGUACCGUAAGAAUAAGCACCGGCUAACUACGUGCCAGCAGCCGCGGUAAUACGUAGGGUGCGAGCGUUAAUCGGAAUUACUGGGCGUAAAGCGUGCGCAGGCGGUCUUGUAAGACAGACGUGAAAUCCCCGGGCUCAACCUGGGAAUGGCGUUUGUGACUGCAAGGUUGAAUUGCGGAAAAGGGGGAUGGAAUCCCGGUUGUACCAUUGAAAUGCUUAAAUUUUCGGAGGAACACCGAUGGCAAAGGCAAUCCCCUGGGCCUGCACUGACGCUCAUGCACAAAAGCUUGGGGAGCAAACAGGAUUAGAUACCCUGGUAUUCCACCCCCUAAACGAUGUCAACUGGUUGUGGGGUAUUUACUUACUCAGUAACGAACCUUACGCGUGACGUCGACCGACUGGGGAGUACGGCCGCAAGGUCAAAAUCAAA